AAAGCGUCCGCAGGCGGUUUUACAAGUCUGUCGUUAAAACGUGGAGCUCAACUCCAUUUCGGCGAUGGAAACUGUAAGACUAGAGUGUGGUAGGGGCAGAGGGAAUUCCCGGUGUAGCGGUGAAAUGCGUAGAUAUCGGGAAGAACACCAGUGGCGAAGGCGCUCUGCUGGGCCAUAACUGACGCUCAUGGACGAAAGCUAGGGGAGCGAAAGGGAUUAGAUACCCUUGU
rnacentral:rRNA from 1 species